UUAAGUUCAGCGGGUAUUCCUACCUGAUCCGAGGUCAACCGUUGCCGCCGGGGCGGUCUUUGUAGGGGGUUUCGAGGCUGGUAAGCCCGCGAGCCGUCCAGAGCGAGAAUGAUAUUACUACGCAAAGGGCUGGGACUUGCGGGACCGCCACUGCAUUUAGGGGGGCUGCCCAGGUAGCUGGGCAGCGUCCCCAACACCGG
rnacentral:misc_RNA from 2 species